GUUGGAAAUAAUUAGCAUGAUAACUUGACGUUAUGUAAUAAAAAUAACGACGUCACGAAUUUUGAUGGUUUUUUUGCCAAAAUGUUGAGUUUGCGUCGCUUCUACAGGGAAAACGAAGUCGGUGACCAUAUUUCUUUUUAACAUCAUCUAAUUCGUAAGACAAAGAGGAAGAAAAUGUUAAUUUAAAAAAAAAUUCUAUGGAGCGGUUUACGUGAUUUAUACCGGAAACAGAAAAUUGUAGAAGAAAAAUACAGAUUCCCCCUAUAUAUUCAAUGUAAUUUAG
rnacentral:lncRNA from 1 species